UACGUAGGGUGCAAGCGUUAAUCGGAAUUACUGGGCGUAAAGCGUGCGCGGGCGGUUUUGUAAGUCUGUCGUGAAAUCCCCCGGGCUCAACCUGGGAAUUGCGAUGGAGACUGCAAGGCUAGAAUCUGGCAGAGGGGGGUAGAAUUCCACGUGUAGCAGUGAAAUGCGUAGAGAUGUGGAGGAACACCGAUGGCGAAGGCAGCCCCCUGGGUCAAGAUUGACGCUCAUGCACGAAAGCGUGGGGAGCAAACGA
rnacentral:rRNA from 1 species